UACGAAGGGGGGCUAGCGUUGCUCGGAAUCACUGGGCGUAAAGCGCACGUAGGCGGAUUCUUAAGUCGGUGGUGAAAUCCUGGAGCUCAACUCCAGAACUGCCUUCGAUACUGAGAGUCUCGAGUCCGGGAGAGGUGAGUGGAACUGCGAGUGUAGAGGUGAAAUUCGUAGAUAUUCGCAAGAACACCAGUGGCGAAGGCGGCUCACUGGCCCGGUACUGACGCUGAGGUGCGAAAGCUAGGGGGAGCAAACGGGG
rnacentral:rRNA from 1 species